CUUGAAGUAGUUCCCCUUGCUCUGAAAGGACCGUGGCUUUUGUUGAGCAAGGUGUGACUUUGCUUCGAGGGUGGCUCUUGCAAUGUGUGCAGAGGGUCUCUGGUUUGAGCCCAUGUAGGGGCGAGGAGAGGGACGGAAGCAGAACUGUAACAGGUCACCAUUUUAAUCAGGAGAAUCUCCUCUUUGUAAUUAUGUAAGUCUGGGCAGCGAGCUUGUUUGUCAGCGAUCGCUUAACCAGAAAUAUACGUUUUUAUUUGUUCACUACUUUUUCAUUACGCAGACAUAAGCACAGUUGCCACCAUCGAGGUGCGGAUGUUUACUUUCUACACAAGUUGUUUUUUUUCCAGUUUCAUCCGACGAACAGAUUGUAGUGGUAAAAUAAAAAGAGAAUUCUAUGCAUCACUCCAGUCAAAACAGGCUCUGCGAACUUUCGAUUCCAUUAAUUUGCUAUGGACUCGCGCUAGUGUUCCAGUUUAGCCAACGUUCUUAAGCCGUUUUUCAGCCUUGAGUGAAUUUUGACUCGUUCUAUUGUCCAGCCUAUAGAUAGACAGAGCGAAUUUUUGAAAGCACCCGAAUGUCCAUUGAGAAAGCACAACGACUAUACCAUUUAGAUAAACUAAGAAUGACGAGAAUAAUCAAGUCAAUAAAUGUUGGGUAGUUAGAUAGCCUAUAGUUAAUAUACUGGCAAGUUUGAUGUAUAACUACUAACGUAAGGUAGCUAGCUAACACACCGGUACAUACUGCUGUAAUGAUAUGCUUUGUGGUUCGUAUGGACAGCGUAGCUAACAAAUUGUCAGCCAACAUAACAUGUAAGGUAACUUAUAUGAAAUGUCAUUACUUUAUUACGUUGCGUAGCAAGCUACCCCUUGGUCGUUAGGGCAAAUCUGAUCUGUGAUAGGACGGGGGGGGGUUCACACCUAUUAGACUAUUCUUUAGUAAAGGUUGAACAGCCAAUUGUUCAGCUAUUAGCCCUCCUCCCCAACUUGCAAUAAAUUGCUGUUCCCAUUUCUUUCCUUUCCCUCUUCCACACGUCAUCAUUCUCAGUGGCUCGCUUGUGGGCGUGCUGGCAGGAUAUGGCAGCAUUUUCGGUUGUGCAUCAAUAAUUCUGUAUACAGUAGCACGUUUGUAUGAAGGUGUGGUUAUUCACAGGAACAUUUUUAUUAUUUUCAUAUCUAUAAAAAAAAUAAGCUGUUUUCUUUACUUUCAGAGAGUGAGCUGAUCAAGGGGUAGAAAAUGUAGAUAUUACCAGAUGUUCACUGUCCAAGGAACAGGCCGUGGAAGUUUUAUUGCUGGCAAAAGUAUCCAUAACCAGAGAUUUUGUUACGGCUUGGUAAUUGUGGAGGAGGAAUGAGGCGCAGGAACCAGCGAACACAGGGUAGUGGUGUUUUUAAUAUACACUCACCAAAAAAAAAAAAUGUUCCCACACACAGGGGAGAAAAUACAUGCGGCGUACAACAACGUCGACAUGAACACAAGCCGUCACACAAGAAACAAUCAUUAAUCCCGCACGAACAGGAGCGGGCCAGCUAAACUAAAUAGCCCCUCUAAUGGCUAAUUGACCACAGGUGUCACAAAAUAAAAAAAGGGAAAAGCAAAAGGGAAUCGGUGGCAGCUAAUAGGCCGGUGACGACGACCGCCGAGCGCCACCCGAGCAGGAGGGGGCGCCACCGUCGGUGGGAAUCGUGACAGUACCCCCCUCCUGACGCGCGGCUCCCGCAGCGCGCCGACACCGG
rnacentral:lncRNA from 1 species